UACGUAGGGGGCAAGCGUUGUCCGGAUUUAUUGGGCGUAAAGAGCGUGUAGGCGGCCAGACAAGUCUGCUGUGAAAACUCGAGGCUCAACCUCGAGACGCCGGUGGAAACCGUAAAGCUAGAGUCCGGAAGAGGAGAGUGGAAUUCCUGGUGUAGCGGUGAAAUGCGCAGAUAUCAGGAAGAACACCCGUGGCGAAGGCGGCUCUCUGGGACGGUACUGACGCUGAGACGCGAAAGCGUGGGGAGCGAACAGG
rnacentral:rRNA from 1 species